rnacentral:rRNA from 1 species
GUCCACGCCGUAAACGAUGAAUGCCAGCCGUUAGUGGGUUUACUCACUAGUGGCGCAGCUAACGCUUUAAGCAUUCCGCCUGGGGAGUACGGUCGCAAGAUUAAAACUCAAAGGAAUUGACGGGGGCCCGCACAAGCGGUGGAGCAUGUGGUUUAAUUCGACGCAACGCGCAGAACCUUACCAGCCCUUGACAUCCCGGUCGCGGACUCCAGAGACGGAGUCCUUCAGUUCGGCUGGACCGGAGACAGGUGCUGCAUGGCUGUCGU